AUUGAACGCUGGCGGAAUGCUUUACACAUGCAAGUCGAACGGCAGCACGGGUGCUUGCACCUGGUGGCGAGUGGCGAACGGGUGAGUAAUGCACCGGAACGUAUCCAAUAAUGGGGGAUAACGCACCGAAAGGUGUGCUAAUACCGCAUACGCCCUGAGGGGGAAAGCGGGGGAUCGAAAGACCUCGCGUUACUGGAGCGGCCGAUGCCGGAUUAGCUAGUUGGUGAGGUAAAGGCUCACCAAGGCGACGAUCCGUAGCUGGUCUGAGAGGACGACCAGCCACACUGGAACUGAGACACGGUCCAGACUCCUACGGGAGGCAGCAGUGGGGAAUUUUGGACAAUGGGCGAAAGCCUGAUCCAGCCAUUCCGCGUGAGUGAAGAAGGCCUUCGGGUUGUAAAGCUCUUUCGCAAGGAAAGAAAACUCAUUUCCUAAUACGAGAUGAGGAUGACGGUACCUUGACAAGAAGCACCGGCUAACUACGUGCCAGCAGCCGCGGUAA
rnacentral:rRNA from 1 species